rnacentral:lncRNA from 1 species
GGGAGUGUGUGGUUGCCGAGUGGAAUAGGAUAUAUCGGGUUUCUGAACAGUACGUGCCAAUGUUUGCUGUUAAUUACAUGAGAUUCGGUUGACCGUCAUGCAGAUGUUCCAGGAACUGCACGCAGUGCAUGACAUUUUCUAUGCUGAUAUGUUGCAGCAUGCAACAUAUUGGUAUAGAAAAUGUCAUGGAAGAUAAUGGUCACUGCAUGCAGUUCUUGGAAUAUCUGAAUGGUGGUCAUAUUGGGCUUUGUGUAAUUGACAGUAGGUGUUGGCACGUAUUGUUUAGAGGCUUGAUGUGUCUUGUCUCGUUUGGUGAUUGCACGUUCCUUAAUCACACAUUCUGCACUUUUGCAGCAUCACAAUCCCCCUGCUGGUG